UUUUCAAUGUUUGAGAUGCUUGAGGGAUUUUCAACAAUACAAAAUUGCAACUAGGUCAGCAAUUAUUAUUCAAUCUCACACACAUGGAUGGAUUGCUCGAAGAGUUGCUUAUCGACUAAAAUGUCUCAUCGUUGUAAUUCAAAGUCAUUGCCGUGGUUGGUUAAUAAGAAGGGAGAUUGUGGUC